UACGGGGGGAGCAAGCGUUGUUCGGAUUUACUGGGCGUAAAGGGCGGGUAGGCGGCCACCGCAAGUCGACUGUGAAAUCUCCGGGCUUAACCCGGAAAGGUCAGCCGAUACUGCGGGGCUAGAGUGCAGAAGGGGCAACUGGAAUUCUCGGUGUAGCGGUGAAAUGCGUAGAUAUCGAGAGGAACACCUGCGGCGAAGGCGGGUUGCUGGGCUGACACUGACGCUGAACUGCGAAAGCUAGGGGAGCGAACAGG
rnacentral:rRNA from 1 species